rnacentral:rRNA from 1 species
ACGGAAGGCAGCAGUGAGGAAUAUUGGUCAAUGGGCGAGAGCCUGAACCAGCCAUGUCGCGUGCAGGAAUACGGCCCUACGGGUUUUAAACUGCUUUUGCCUGGGGAUAAAGUGGCGGACGAGUCCGCUAUUGCAGGUACCAGGCGAAUAAGGAUCGGCUAACUCCGUGCCAGCAGCCGCGGUAAUACGGAGGAUCCGAGCGUUAUCCGGAUUUAUUGGGUUUAAAGGGUGCGCAGGCGGCACGUUAAGUCAGCGGUGAAAUGUCGGGGCUCAACCCGGGCACUGCCGUUGAAACUGGCGAGCUUGAGUACGGAUGAAGUCGGCGGAAUGUGAUGUGUAGCGGUGAAAUGCUUAGAUAUGUCACAGAACACCGAUUGCGAAGGCAGCUGACUAAUCCGCAACUGACGCUCAGGCACGAAAGCGUGGGGAUCGAACAGGAUUAGAUACCCUGGUA